rnacentral:rRNA from 1 species
GAUGAACGCUGGCGGCGUGCUUAACACAUGCAAGUCGAACGGAAAGGCCCAAGCUUGCUUGGGUACUCGAGUGGCGAACGGGUGAGUAACACGUAGGUGAUCUGCCCUGCACUUAGGGAUAAGCCUGGGAAACUGGGUCUAAUACCGGAUAGGACAACAUUUUGGAUGGUGUGGUGGAAAGUUUUUCGGUGUGGGAUGAGCUCGUGGCGUAUCGGCUUGUUGAGGGGGUAAUGGCCUACCAAGCCGUCGACGGGUAGCCGGCCUGUGAGGGUGUACGGCCGCAUUGGGACCGAGAUACGGCCGAGAUUGCGACGGGAGGCAGCAGGGGGGAAUAUUGCACGAUGGACGCAAGCUUGAUGCAGCGGCGCCGCGUGGGGUAUGACGGUCUUCGGGUUGUAAAAUCCAUGCGCUAGGGACGAAGCGUUAUGUGACGGUACCUGGAGAAGAAGCACCGGCUAACUACGUG